GCUCAGAUUGAACGCUAGCGGGAUGCCUUACACAUGCAAGUCGAACGGCAGCACGGACUUCGGUCUGGUGGCGAGUGGCGAACGGGUGAGUAAUGUAUCGGAACGUGCCUAGUAGCGGGGGAUAACUACGCGAAAGCGUAGCUAAUACCGCAUACGCCCUACGGGGGAAAGCAGGGGAUCGCAAGACCUUGCACUAUUAGAGCGGCCGAUAUCGGAUUAGCUAGUUGGUGGGGUAACGGCUCACCAAGGCGACGAUCCGUAGCUGGUUUGAGAGGACGACCAGCCACACUGGGACUGAGACACGGCCCAGACUCCUACGGGAGGCAGCAGUGGGGAAUUUUGGACAAUGGGGGAAACCCUGAUCCAGCCAUCCCGCGUGUGCGAUGAAGGCCUUCGGGUUGUAAAGCACUUUUGGCAGGAAAGAAACGUCAUGGGCUAAUACCCCGUGAAACUGACG
rnacentral:rRNA from 2 species